AACGAGGUCCCAGUGUGAGGUAUAGUUCCUGCAUCAUCAUCAUGGCUGCCGCUGGCCAAGAAACUAACGUGAAAACACUUCCUCCUCGUUUUUACCAAGAUAGAAGCUAUCGCGACGGGUUUCUUGCAGCCGUAAGUGACUAACAGAAGGCCGAAGUUCUCCAGGAUGUGGUUCUUGAAGUCGAGGGCCGCCGGUUUCCCUGUCACCGGCUUGUUUUGUCCGCGGCCAGCCCCCAUUUCCGGGCGAUGUUUACAUCUGAUAUGGCGGAGAGUCGUCAGAAGACGGUUGUUUUGAAGGGUUUGGAUGCAGCCAUGUUUGGGGAGAUUCUGUGCUACAUCUACUCUGGAACCCUCCACGUGUCCCUGGACAGAGUGCAGCAUCUGUACCAGGCAGCCGACUGCAAGCAGACUUGUUGGGCAACGAAACCUUCUCUUCCCGGCAAAACUUCCUCGACCGAAUUUCCUGAAAUUUACAACAAAUAGAAUACUAUGCAACAAGGUUUAUAACGGCUAUCAUGAAAUACAAACUUCUAUUUGGGCUUCAAAAGCAAGCACUAAACAGUGUGUUUUUAUACUAAAUUCAAUAAUAAAAUGCAAAAUUUACACAA